GACGAACGCUGGCGGCGUGCUUAACACAUGCAAGUCGAACGGAAAGGCCCUGCUUUUGUGGGGUGCUCGAGUGGCGAACGGGUGAGUAACACGUGAGUAACCUGCCCUUGACUUUGGGAUAACUUCAGGAAACUGGGGCUAAUACCGGAUAGGAGCUCCUGCUGCAUGGUGGGGGUUGGAAAGUUUCGGCGGUUGGGGAUGGACUCGCGGCUUAUCAGCUUGUUGGUGGGGUAGUGGCUUACCAAGGCUUUGACGGGUAGCCGGCCUGAGAGGGUGACCGGACAGAUGGGGGUGGGGCUGCGGAGCAGGCUGCGGCGGGGGGCAGCAGGGUGUAAUAUGGCACACGGGGCGGCAGCGUGGCGCGGCCACGCGGCGGGGGGGAGGACGGCGUUGGGGUUGUGAACUGCUUCCGCGUGUGGGGGAGAGUGGGGGAGGAGAAGGGAAAAGGAAGCGCCGGAUAACGCCGAGCCGGCAGCCGAGUUAAUAAGAGGACGAGCACACGACUAGUC
rnacentral:rRNA from 1 species